CUCUGUGUUAUGUUUUGUUUCCAUGAGCUAUGGAGAUGAUACAACCCCAUUAGUAGCCUGAAGAUAACUUAGGUAGAGGAAAAGCUGGAAGCAGGGUAAAGGCAAUUUGUACUCGAGAUGCAACAUCUAAAGACUGCUAUGGAAAAUAAGCGUGAGGAAGCACGGUCAGAAGGUGGGCACAUAGUAUUUGUUACACAGAUUGUGACUGAAGUUCUAAGUAGCAUACCGCCU